ensembl:lncRNA DIRC3 disrupted in renal carcinoma 3
AUUGUCUUCUCUGGGGAAGUUAGCUGUCAUGUUGUGAGGAUACUCAAGCAGUUUAUAAAGAGGUUCAUGUCGCAAGGAAUGGAGGCCUCCUGCCAACAGCCAUGUAAAGGAGCCAUCUAGGAAAUAGAUUCUCCAGCCCCAGUCAGACCUUCAGAUGAUUACAGCCCCUACCAACCUUCUGACUGCGGUGGAAGGAAGGUUCCGGAACCAGAACCACCCAGGAAACAUCUAUGAAGUGCCUACUUGUAUCUGAAUGAUGGCCUGGAACUAAGAAGACUAAAACAUGACUCGAACUUGAGAGACCACAGUCUGGUGAGAAACAUAAGUGGACCCAAAAAGCUAAAACACAAUAGCAAAGAAAAAUGCUACAAUAGGGUGGCUAACCAAUGGCGAAGCCAAGCAUAGUGGAGUCAGACUCCCUCAAUUCAAACCCAGGUUCUGAUGCUUAUUAGGUUGCAGGAUCUUUUUCUCAAAGUCUCAAUUUUGUCAUCUGUAAUAGUAUUGCCUUUAUGAAAUUGCUAUAAGGGAUUAACUGAGAUAAUGCAUGAAAAGUACUUGCACUGUGAAUGGCCCAUAGAAAGACUUUUAAAAUGUUAAUUGACACCAUUGUUCUCUGUUUCAGUUCUUCUCAUUUGUAAAAUGAAGGUGGUAACUGUACUUAUAGGGUUACCAUGAGAUUCAAAUUAUGUAAUGCAAGGAAAGUGCUUGGCACAGUGCCUGACAGUAAGCACUUGAUAAUUGUUAACUGUGAUUUUUAUUUCGUAUAAAGUAAAAAGGAAAGGAACAUAAAACUGAUUAGAGGUGUCAUGUACUAAUGUCUGCAAUGUACUUUGAAAUGCAUCAAAAAAUAGAUGGAUUGGGUAGAGGAAUAAAGGUAUGGAGAGAUGCAUAGAUAUGAUGGAAAAAAUAGAGCAAAAUCUUAAUUGUAGAACCCUUCAUUGUCUUCUCCAUGGCUCCUUGUAACCCCUUGUUGAAUCGGGGGCUUCUGGAGAGACUCAACUGGAGGAGGGAGGGGAGGGAGGGAAGAAGGUAAAGAGAUGGUGAGUACAUGGAUGUUCACUGUGCUGUUCUUUCAACUUUCCGUGUGGUUGAAAUUUUCCAUAAUAAAACUUUGGAAGAAA